CCCAGUAAACACCUGACGUCGUACCGACGUUGGUUAGACGUUGGAUUUUGGUCGCGACGUCGGCGACCUGAAUCCAACGUCUAACCAACGUCAUAUCCACGACGUCUAAUAGACGUCAGACUUAGACGUCUAGAAGACGUUGGAAUUAGGUUGGAUAGAAAGUCUCUUAAAUGUUUUUAGUUAUAAAACUAACUGGUAUAAUUUUGCUAGUAUAGUUUAAAGAUAUUUACUUGUUUUCAUAAAGGCGUGGACAUGCGCUUAUUAAUAAUAGUUCAUUCUCACAACAAACAUUAUAUUAAUUAUGUUACAAUAUCGCAUGAGACUGUCUAUUUUCGGAGACGGAUUUUUUCACGAACUUAAACUGUUUAAGAUAAAAAUGCAUUCUAUACACAUGUAUAAAUUAUUCUAAAUUCACAUAGAUCUUCUCUUCUUCACAUGUUGUCUAUUAGUCACACAUUCGCGAGAUAAUCCUGCAUCGGUUUACACAGUCUUCCUGUAAUUUGAUAUUUAUUGGGAUAAGAUAGAGCAAGUUUAUAAAUACUUUACACAAAGGGAAGGAUCCGCAACGUGGAAAGUUGGCGGAGUUGAAGAAUCAUACAAAAAUGACGAAACUUGAAAGUUUCAAUUACUGCAUUACUUUUUGGACUUAUUGUAUUAGACUUACGUCGCCAUAAUAUGAAAUAAAGAUGAUAAAAUACA